rnacentral:rRNA from 1 species
CAGUAGCCGCGGUAAUACAGAGGGUGCAGGCGUUAAUCGGAAUUACUGGGCGUAAAGCGCGCGUAGGUGGUUUGUUAAGUUGGAUGUGAAAUCCCCGGGCUCAACCUGGGAACUGCAUUCAAAACUGACUGACUAGAGUAUGGUAGAGGGUGGUGGAAUUUCCUGUGUAGCGGUGAAAUGCGUAGAUAUAGGAAGGAACACCAGUGGCGAAGGCGACCACCUGGACUAAUACUGACACUGAGGUGCGAAAGCGUGGGGAGCAAACAGGAUUAGAUACCCCCGUAGUCCCUGUCUCUUAUAC